rnacentral:lncRNA from 1 species
AUAUCGGAGGAAACCUGACAGAGCAAAUUGGCCAUGGCCAAGAAAAAGAAACAACAGAACCAAGAAAUGGUGGAUCAGUUGGAAGAAGAAAAGAAAGAGUGCCACCAAAAGCAGGGAGCCCUAAGGGAGCAGUUACAGGUUCACAUUCAGAAUGUAGAAAUCCUUGUAUCAGAGAAAGCUGAGUUACAGCCUGGCUUACACUCAGCAUGCUGCCAGGCAGAAAGAAGGAGUCUGAGGAUCUGGCCAGCCGCCUUUAGUAUUCCAGGCAGUGUGUGGGAGAGUUGGAGCAGGCUCUCUGCUGUCUCCACACAGCAGAAGAAAGCAGACAGGUACAACAAGGAGUUAACCAAAGAGAGAGACGCCCUCAGGCUGGAGUUAUACAAGAACAGCAAUGAGGACCUGAAGCAGGAGAAAUCAGAAUUGGAAGAGAAGCUUCAAGUCCUGGUGACUGAGAAGGCUGGCAUGCAGCUUAUUUUAGAAGAGCCGCAAAAGAAAUUACAAAUGAUGGCACUCCUGCUUCAACAGUUUUCAAGGCACUGUGAAGCCCCUGAUGCGAAACAGCAGUUACCGCAGGCCAUGGAGGAGCGGGCACAGCUGAAAGCACAUCUAGGGCAGGUAAUGGAGUCAGUUAGAUAACUACAAACGGAGAGAGAUACGUAUGCUGAAAAUCUGAAAGGAGGGAGGGCCAUGUGGUGUCAGAGGAAGCAACAGAUGUCGGAGCAGUGUGCACAUUGAGAGAGGAGAAGGAGGAUAGCAUGAGUUGGGUAUAAGAACAGUAGAUGAGCUUGGCUGAAGUGAGUAACCAGAUGGCUGAACCCCUGCCCCUGGAACUCCCAGCAGGGCCCUCCAAGGUGGAGCAGCAGCUACAAGCAGAGGCUGACCACCUGCAGAAGGAGCUGGAGAGUCUGGCAGCUCCGAGCCCAGGAGCAAGACACUGAGGGCUUCAGUCACCCGAACCAGGAGUAGGAGGAGAGGCUGCUGGAGCUGGAGCAGGUGGCCGAGCUCUUGCGGGAGCAGGCAGAGUCACGCAGGCAAAUCCUGGAGACCAUGCAGAACAAAUGCACCACCAUCAGCCACGUGCUCACCCAGAACCACAAGCUCAAAGAGCAGCUGUCUCCGCUGCAGAACGGAUUCAUAAAGCUGACUAAUGAGAACAUGGAGAUCACCAGUGCACUGCAGUUGGAAUAGCACGUAAAGAGGGAGCUGGGAAAGAAGCUGGGCAAGCUAAAGGACAUGGUGGAGCUGAAGAGCCAGGAGGCUCAGAGUCUGCAGCAGCAGCAGGACCAGUACCUGGGUCAUCUGCAGCAGUAUGUGGCCACCUAUCAGCAGCAGGUGGUCACCUAUCAGCAGCUGACCUCUGAGGAGGAGGAGCUGCACAACCAGUUACUGCUGCAGACCCAGCUCGUGGACCGGCUGCAGCAGCAGAAAGCUCAAAGCAAAGCUGUGGCCAAGAUGGGCUGCCAAGAGUUGCGGGAGACCCAGGAGCACCUGGAAGCUAUCAGCCAGCAGAACCAGCAGCCUCAGGCCCAGUUGAGCCUCAUGGCUCUCCCUGGGGAAGGAGAUGGACAGUGAGGAGGAGGAGGAGGUGCCUCAGCCCAUGCCAAGCAUCCCGGAGGAUCUAGAGAGCCAGAAGGCCAUGGUGGCAUUUUUCAACUCAGCUGUAGCUAGUGCCGAGGAGGAGCAGGCACGGCUAUGUGGGCAGCUGAAGGAGUGCACUGCCAGCGCCUGGCUCAUCUGUUGGCCUCGGCCCAGAAGGAACCUGAGGCAGCAGCCCCAGCCCCAAGAACUGGGGGUGAUCCCAUGUGUGGGGAGACCCACCAGGCCCUGCAGGGGGCCAUGGAGAAGCUGUGGAGCCGCUUUAUGGAGCUCAUGCAGGAGAGAAGGUGGACUUGAAGGAGAGGGUUGAGGAACUGGAACAUUGCUGCAUCUAGCUGUCUGGAGAGAGACAGAGAGUACAUCGCACUGUACCAGAGCCAGAGGGCAGUGCGGAAGGAGGAGGAGUGCAUCAGCAGGCUGGCCCAGGACAAGGGAGAGGUGAAGGUGAAGCUGCUGGAGCUGGCGUGGCUUGUGGACGACUGCAACAAGUGGCAUAGCAGAUUCCUGGCAGCUGCCCAGAACCCUGCUGAUGAGCCCACUCCAGGGGCCCCCGCCCCCCAGUAGCUUGGGGCUACUGACAAGCCAGGAUCUUUGUGAGGUGAGCCUUGCCAGCAGUGGGGAGUCUGCACAAGGAGAGGCGGGGAAGCAUUCUCCCUGUGACAACCCCACUGAGCAGCAGAUCAUGCAACUGCUUCAUGAGAUGCAGAACCUCCAGGAGCACCCAGGCUUGGGCAGCAGCCCUUGCAUUCCUUUUUUGUACCAGACUGAUGAGAACAAUGAGGUGAAGAUCACCAUCAUC